GAAAGGUAGUCUUUCUGGAAAUGGGAAGAGAAUCUGGGCCUUGGGGUAGAUGGGAAGAAGGGUACAGGAAGGGAAAGCAAAAAGAAAAAAAAGCAUUGUGAUGAGUUUAUGUGAUGGAUUCCGUUCACUGAUUUAGGCCUGGUGACCUGUUGCAUCUUUACAAGCAGAAAGUACGUGGUGCCUGAGACCUCUCUGCUCAUCUCCUCCUGACAUGGAGUCCAGAUUGCCCACCAAGAACCGUGAUCCACCCAGCCUCCAUCGACAGGUGCCUUCAGGUUCAACAAUAUAAUCUUCCCGGGCAAACUGGACAUUAGAAGACAUAAACCAAAAGAAAAUUGAGAUGAGUUUGACCAGGGAAAUUGCUGUCUUGGGUGUCUGCCAUAGCCUUGAAGAAACCUGCUCACAAAUCAUGGCUGAUGUCUCUGCCUGGAUCUCAGAAUGAAAAUGAGCUCAGUGAAGUGAGCAACUUUCCUUUGCUGCUAUGAUUCAGAUCAAGAAUUUCUACAGAGGUCUCAUGCAUUCACAGAUAGAGUUCCAGAGAGUGACCGAAUCACAAGGGGACAUAGCUCAAUCGCUAUUGGGAGCCCAACUACAACAGUGACCUUCGGUUUAGGAAAUGGGAGGGAUGGGAUCAGCUGUGACGGGAGCAAAAACAGAAGAAUGCAUGCCCACUGUGAAGGCCUUAGAGAGAUCUGGAGAAUGGAACACAUGACCCACAUGCCAGGUGGAGCUGAAAACAUUAAUGAAGCCAUUAAAUAAUAUCACCUUGCCAACAUAGUACAUCAGUUCUACUGAAGUCACCUUCCACUAAAGUGCACCUGCAGCUUACCUUGUGUGAGCAUGGACACUGGUGGUCAGUAUUCUGGUUUGUUGAUGGACAACAUAUUCCCUAGGUUAUGAAAUCUAUUAAUUAUAUGCAUAAAUUCCAAGAGAAAUGUAUUUUACAUAGAUUAAAACAUCUGUUUGAAUAAUCUAUAUUUUCAAUUGGAAAUACGAAGGAGCAGUUCUUUUUCCUGACAUGGAAAUUUACCGACCAUAACCUUAGACAUGUGCUAUGCUAUUUAAACAACCCCUGCAAGAAGACAAAUUCUUUAUAGUCUUGUGUCUUUUUCUU